rnacentral:rRNA from 1 species
AUUGAACGCUGGCGGCAGGCCUAACGCAUGCAAGUCGAGCGGAUGAAGGGAGCUUGCUCCUGGAUUCAGCGGCGGACGGGUGAGUAAUGCCUAGGAAUCUGCCUGGUAGUGGGGGAUAACGUCCGGAAACGGGCGCUAAUACCGCAUACGUCCUGAGGGAGAAAGUGGGGGAUCUUCGGACCUCACGCUAUCAGAUGAGCCUAGGUCGGAUUAGCUAGUUGGUGGGGUAAAGGCCUACCAAGGCGACGAUCCGUAACUGGUCUGAGAGGAUGAUCAGUCACACUGGAACUGAGACACGGUCCAGACUCCUACGGGAGGCAGCAGUGGGGAAUAUUGGACAAUGGGCGAAAGCCUGAUCCAGCCAUGCCGCGUGUGUGAAGAAGGUUUUCGGAUUGUAAAGCACUUUAAGUUGGGAGGAAGGGCAGUAAGUUAAUACCUUGCUGUUUUGACGUUACCAACAGAAUAAGCACCGGCUAACUUCGUG